rnacentral:rRNA from 1 species
CUACGGGUGGCUGCAGUAAGGAAUAUUGGUCAAUGGACGAAAGUCUGAACCAGCCAUGCCGCGUGAAGGAUGACGGCCCUACGGGUUGUAAACUUCUUUUAUAUGGGAAGAAACCCCUCUACGUGUAGAGGGCUGACGGUACCAUACGAAUAAGCAUCGGCUAACUCCGUGCCAGCAGCCGCGGUAAUACGGAGGAUGCAAGCGUUAUCCGGAUUUAUUGGGUUUAAAGGGUGCGCAGGCGGAAAGAUAAGUCAGUGGUGAAAUCCUACGGCCUAACUGUAGAACUGCCAUUGAUACUGUCUUUCUUGAGUACAGUUGAAGUGGGCGGAAUGUGUCAUGUAGCGGUGAAAUGCAUAGAUAUGACACAGAACACCGAUAGCGAAGGCAGCUCACUAAACUGAAACUGACGCUCAUGCACGAAAGCGUGGGGAGCAAACAGGAUUAGAUACCCCUGUAGUC